rnacentral:lncRNA from 1 species
UUUUUUUUUUUUUUUUUGGAUGCAACUCUUUUGCAGUUGCAUAUGUUCCAACUAUUUUUCCUGGUCCAAUGCUUGUCUUUUUAUUUUGUUUAAAAUAAAACUCUUUUUAGAUUUAUUUAAAAAAGAUUUUAUUUACUUAUUCAUGAGAGACACAGGGAGGUAGAGACAGAGGCAGAGGGAGAAGUAAGCUCCCUCUGGGGAGUCUGAUGCAGGACUCGGGAUAAUGCCCUGAGCCAAAGGCAGAUGCUCAACCUCUGAGCCACCGAGGCGCCCAUAAAAUAAAACUUAAAAAUUUUUUAAUGUAAAGAACUAUAUCAGUACUUCCCUUUAAGGUAGGUGUUUUUUGCUUGGUUUGCUUUCCUUUGCUUUGCUUUUAUUCAGUAUAUCCUUUCCUACCCCUCCGUCAUAAAGACAUUCUUCUAUAGUUUCUUUAAAAAUUUUUAAAGUUAUGCUUCUUAAAUUUAAGUCACCUGGAAUUGAUAUUCUUUAUAUGGUAUCAGGUUAGGACUCAGUACAUUUUCUGUAUAUUUCUGCAUGAUCCUUGUACCAUUUAUAUCUCAGUCUAUCACGUACAGUCUACACGUAGUCAGCAUAGGGUAUUUUGGGGUCUAGAUCUUAUUCCAUUAGUCUAGUUUUCUAGUUCUGUGCAAAUACCUGUACUACCUUAAUUAAUAUAAUUUUAUCUUAAGUUUUCACAGUUGAUAGGGCCUAUCCAUCUGUCCACCUGCCCACCUACCCAUAUAUACAUACAUCUUUCUAUCCACCAUUAUUAUUCACAAAUAUUUUCUGAGACCCUAAUUAUGCCAAGUACUGCUUUUAUCACUGGAGAUUUAAUAACAGACUAAACAGAUAUUUCUGCCCUCAUGAGCUUACAUUCCAGGGAAUGGAGGCAGACACUAAACUAAACAAAUCAAUUAAAUAUGCCAUGGUUAUAAGAGCCAUGAAGAUACACAAAGUAGAAAAACAUCAUCCAGCAUGUGUUAACACCUGAUUUAAUAUAUAAACUGAAAAAAUCUAAUGGAAUAACAACAACAAAACCACUUAUUUUAAAUAUACACCAGACAUCUAGAGUUUGCAGGAAAAAAAUUAAAUACUCAUGCUUAGAUCUAUCAAUAGUUUAUAACUUUUGGUGAAGAAUCUCUACUCCUGACAGAUGCUAUAUAAAAUUGCAACCUGUCCUUGCCAGGCUGUGACUACACAGGAAAGUCUAAAGUCUAUUUUAGUCACCUAGAAAGAGAGGUGUGGGCACACAUGCCCACACCUUCUGUUUGAUCCUUGACCAGUGACACAGGUCUUGGGUCAGAAAGAGACUGCAGUUUGUCAGCUGGACAUUAUGGGAGCUUGGAAAAUUUUCUGCUUUUGGAGACCUGGGAAUAAGCCUAGAGCUCCCAAACACAACUCCCAGAAAAAUAGAAUUUUUUUACAAGCUGUCUGUACGUGCUCUACAGUUAAAACAGAAUAUGCACUACCUCUGCUACCUUCCUCAAUUCCUAGAGUAAAUGAGCCAAUAGAUAGUUGCUUUUUCAAGUUUAUUUGUUUUUUUUUUAACAAUUUUUCUAUCUUUAAUAGUAAUAUCACGACUCUGUAUGAAACUUAUUAUGUUUUCUUAUCAACACAAUCCGCCCUGUGUGACUCUGGGCAAGUUAUUUCACCUUUCUGAACUUGAUAUUUCUCACUGUAAAAUGGGAUAAGAAUACCUAAUUGCAGGCUUGUUGUGACCCUUAAGCACUAUAUUGAAAGACCUUAGUAGAGUGGCUGCUAUGUGGUAGGUAUGGAAUAAUGGUAGGCCUUAUCAUUAGAAUUGUUAUACAAAUAAUUCUAGGUAUUUGCCAAAGAUCUCUAAGACACUCCCAUGACCUGGAAUCUGCAUGGGUCUAGAAUCCAGGCUCUCUGAGCAUAUAGAAGGUAAAUACAUAAAUUAGGAGCACAAGUCCCAGUUCCCGCCCCAGCACUUUAUCAUCACCAACACAUGAGAACUACUUAUGUCCCAAUAAGAGCUGUCAUAUGUAAAGCGCAUCAACAAGUUAGUGUUACCUCAUUUGUACACUCCCCAAAAACUCUACAGCUAGUUGGAUAGGGAAGUAGCAGAGACAAGGUAUACACUAAUUAUAUCUAGGUUGAAUACACCCGGGUUUGCUAAUUUGUAUACAGCCAAUCAUAGCAAAGGUAACUCCUCUAGGGGAGCCACUCACAGUAAAGGAGUUCUCACUACAGAGUGAGAGAAUCCUAAGCUUGCCUAGCUCCCACUGCAGGGUCCCACUGACCCUCUUCUCUCCUAAUGUUCCAGCCUCUACAGGUCUAGAAAUUGCUCUGACAAGAACUCUCAUGCUAGAUGCAGUCCACAGUGAUACUGUAGUGGCAGCCAGGACAAUGGCAGCAUCCAUACCCACAAGGCAACUAGUGGGCAAGCAGAGAUACCACAUAAGGGUUUAAGGUACUAUAUGACCUUUUACCUCUACUCCAAAUGAGUAUGCUUCUGUGUGUGCAUGUGGUAUAAUUAAGCAUUAAUAAGAAGGAAGGUUUAGUCAAGAGAGGUUAAAUACUUUCAUGU